rnacentral:pre_miRNA from 1 species
AUAUGAAUCACUUGGUGGAUGUUAUUAAAAUGCAGAAUCUGAUUUAGUCGGUCUGGGAUGGAGCCUGAGAUUCUGUAUUUCUGAGAUUCCUAUGCUGCUGAU